AACGAACGCUGGCGGUAUGCUUAACACAUGCAAGUCGAACGAACAAAAUUGGGGCUUGCUCCAAUUUUAGUGAGUGGCAAACGGGUGAGUAACACGUGGGAAUCUACCUAUCAGUACGGAAUAACAUUUGGAAACAGAUGCUAAUACCGUAUAUUCUCCAAGGAGGAAAGAUUUAUCGCUGAUAGAUGAGCCCGCGCAAGAUUAGGUAGUUGGUAGGGUAAUGGCCUACCAAGCCGACGAUCUUUAGCUGGUCUGAGAGGAUGAUCAGCCACACUGGGACUGAGACACGGCCCAGACUCCUACGGGAGGCAGCAGUGGGGAAUAUUGGACAAUGGGCGAAUGCCUGAUCCAGCAAUACCGCGUGAAUGAUGAAGGCCUUAGGGUUGUAAAGUUCUUUUAGUUGGAAAGAUAAUGACGGUACCAACAGAAAAAGCCCCGGCUAACUCCGUGCCAGCCGCCGCCGUAA
rnacentral:rRNA from 1 species